rnacentral:rRNA from 1 species
AUUGAACGCUGGCGGCAGGCCUAACACAUGCAAGUCGAACGAGUGGCGGACGGGUGAGUAAUGUCUGGGAACCUGCCUGGUGGCGGGGGAUAACUACUGGAAACGGUAGCUAAUACCGCAUACCAUCAGAUGUGCCCAGAUGGGAUUAGCUAGUUGGGGGGGUAAAGGCGCACCAAGGCGACGAUCCCUAGCUGGUCUGAGAGGAUGACCAGCCACACUGGAACUGAGAAACGGCCCAGACUCCUACGGGAGGCAGCAGUGGGGAAUAUUGCACAAUGGGCGCAAGCCUGAUGCAGCCAUGCCGCGUGUAUGAAGAAGGCCUUCGGGUUGUAAAGUACUUUCAGCGGGGAGGCGUUACCCGCAGAAGAAGCACCGGCUAACUCCGUGCCAGCCGCCGCGGUAAUAC